UCUAGAGAAAGACGACUAAAGGUAAACGUGAAGGAAAAAAAUUGUUUGUUCUCACAGCUGUUAAUUAAAGAAAUACCAAUAAAAAAGUAGAGUCUCAUAGCUCAGCUGGUUAGAGCGCUACACUGAUAAUGUAGAGGUCGGCAGUUCGAGUCUGGCUGAGACUACUAAUUUUUAUUACAAUUGGAAAUUCUGGAAGUUUGAGUAGUAGUUAAGUACUAACUACUGACUACUAUGUACUAACUUUUAGUAUAUGGGGGAUUAGCUCAGCUGGCUAGAGCGCCUGCCUUGCACGCAGGAGGUCAUCGGUUCGACUCCGAUAUUCUCCACAACGGCUUAACGUUCGUAAUGAUUUAUCAUUAUGAAUUCGCCACACGAUCAUUGACAUAUUGAAAAAGAUACAUGAAACAUUAGAUAUUUAUAUCUAAUAGAAAAAGUAAAUUAAAAAUUGUUGCGAGCUAGCAAUAAUUAAGAGUAAACUCAUUAAAAAGACAAAAGUGCAA
rnacentral:tRNA from 1 species